rnacentral:rRNA from 1 species
GCGAAAGCCUGACGGAGCAACGCCGCGUGAGUGAUGACGGCCUUCGGGUUGUAAAACUCUGUGAUCCGGGACGAAAAGGCAGAGUGCGAAGAACAAACUGCAUUGACGGUACCGGAAAAGCAAGCCACGGCUAACUACGUGCCAGCAGCCGCGGUAAUACGUAGGUGGCAAGCGUUGUCCGGAAUUAUUGGGCGUAAAGCGCGCGCAGGCGGCUUCCCAAGUCCCUCUUAAAAGUGCGGGGCUUAACCCCGUGAUGGGAAGGAAACUGGGAAGCUGGAGUAUCGGAGAGGAAAGUGGAAUUCCUAGUGAGGUGAAAUGCGUAGAGAUUAGGAAGAACACCGGUGGCGAAGGCGACUUUCUGGACGAAAACUGACGCUGAGGCGCGAAAGCGUGGGGAGCAAACAGGAUUAGAUACCCUGGUAGUCCACGCCGUAAACGAUGGAUACUAGGUGUAGGAGGUAUCGACCCCUCCUGUGCCGGAGUUAACGCAAUAAGUAUCCCGCCUGGGGAAGUACGAUCGCAAGAUUAAACUCAAAGGAAUUGACGGGGGCCCGCACAAGCCGGUGGAGUAUGUGGUUUAAUUCGACGCCAACGCGAA